GACGAACGCUGGCGGCGUGCUUAACACAUGCAAGUCGAACGGUAAGGCCCUUCGGGGUACACGAGUGGCGAACGGGUGAGUAACACGUGAGUGAUCUGCCCUGCACUUCGGGAUAAGCCUGGGAAACUGGGUCUAAUACCGGAUAGGACCACUGCCUGCAUGGGUGGGGGUGGAAAGCUUUUGCGGUGUGGGAUGGGCCCGCGGCCUAUCAGCUUGUUGGUGGGGUGAUGGCCUACCAAGGCGACGACGGGUAGCCGGCCUGAGAGGGUGACCGGCCACACUGGGACUGAGAUACGGCCCAGACUCCUACGGGAGGCAGCAGUGGGGAAUAUUGCACAAUGGGCGCAAGCCUGAUGCAGCGACGCCGCGUGAGGGAUGACGGCCUUCGGGUUGUAAACCUCUUUCAGCACCGACGAAGCGCAAGUGACGGUAGGUGCAGAAGAAGGACCGGCCAACUACGUGCCAGCCGCCGCCGUAAGAC
rnacentral:rRNA from 1 species